rnacentral:rRNA from 1 species
UACGUAGGGUGCAAGCGUUGUCCGGAAUUAUUGGGCGUAAAGAGCUCGUAGGCGGUUUGUCGCGUCUGCUGUGAAAACUCGGGGCUUAACUCCGGGCCUGCAGUGGGUACGGGCAGACUAGAGUGCGGUAGGGGAGACUGGAAUUCCUGGUGUAGCGGUGAAAUGCGUAGAGAUCAGGAGGAACACCUAUAGCGAAGGCAGCUUGCUGGGCCGUUACUGACGCUAAGGCGCGAAAGCGUGGGGAGCGAACAGG